AUGGGCCUCUUCUCUGGCGCCAGCGGCAGCAAGGCCAAGGGCAAGUCCCCCGCCACCCCUUUCCUCCUGCCUCCGCCGGCGCCGGCGCCUCGCCGACGGAGGCAUCGCGUGAACGUGUCAGUGGACCAGGCGGAGUGGCACUGGCAGCACCGCCAGCCUCUGCCGUAUCCCGACGUGACGCUGCCGCACGACUGGCAUCUGGAUCUAGAGAGGAUCCCAGUGCCGGCGGCGCCGCGGGUGGCUCGUGCUCACGCGGAGGAGGUGCGGCGCCGGCGGGCGCUACUGACACUGGAGCAGCGCCGCGAGGCCGCCUACGCAACCGACUCGCCCAACUGGGCGACGUGGUUCGCCUUCGAGCACGAGGAGGCGAGGCGACGGGGCGUGCGCGAGGUCGAACGGAGGUCGCCGCCACCGGCACUUGUCGUCCGCGACGAGCACCAGGCGGCGGAGGACGCAUACCAGGCGACACUUGCGUCCGUCUUCCGGGAGAGCGAGGAGGACGAGCGGCGCAGGGCGGAGGCGGCGGAGGCGGAAAAAGAGGCUCGGUACGAGGCGACAAUGGCGCAUGCCCUUGUCCUCUCCGUGGCGGGCGACAGCGUGGUGCCGCCGGUGGGCCCGCCGUCCUCCAUCAAGCCGGAGGCGUAG
rnacentral:rRNA from 1 species